CCUACGGGAGGCAGCAGUGGGGAAUCUUGCACAAUGGAGGAAACUCUGAUGCAGCGAUGCCGCGUGAGUGAAGAAGGCCUUUGGGUUGUAAAGCUCUUUUGUAGGGGAAGAUAAUGACUGUACCCUAAGAAUAAGGUCCGGCUAACUUCGUGCCAGCAGCCGCGGUAAUACGAAGGGACCUAGCGUAGUUCGGAAUUACUGGGCGUAAAGCGCGCGUAGGCCGUUGAGUUAGUUAAUUGUGAAAUCCCAAAGCUUAACUUUGGAACUGCAACUAAAACUGCUCGACUAGAGUUUGAUAGAGGAAAGCGGAAUACAUAGUGUAGAGGUGAAAUUCGUAGAUAUUAUGUAGAACACCAGUUGCGAAGGCGGCUUUCUGGAUCAACACUGACGCUGAGGCGCGAAAGUAUGGGUAGCAAAGAGGAUUAGAUACCCUCGUAGUCCAUACCAUAAACGAUGAUUGCUAGAUGUUGGAAAUUUAUUUUCAGUAUCGCAGCUAACGCAUUAAGNANCNCCUGGAGGUAGACCGCGAAGUAAACGUAACGAAAGAAAGUAAGUAGCGUUGAGAGUUGCGAACGACGACACGAGGGAGGAGG
rnacentral:rRNA from 1 species